UCUUGACCUAAAUUUAAGCUGGAUAAUAAAAACAAUAGUUUAAAACCCAAAGAACUUGGCGGCGUUCAAACAACUCAGGGGAACCUGUCCCUUAAUUCGAUAAUCCACGAAUGCUCAUCCUGUUUUAGCCUAUACAGUCAGUGUACUGCCGUCACAAGCAUACCUUAAAAAGCUCAAGUAUGCAAUAAUGCCACACAUUUAUGUCAGGUCAAAGUGCUGCCCAUAAACAGGUGGAGAUGGGUUACACCUUCAAUCAAAACUACCAAUCAAAUUCCAAAGAAUUUAUAAAAGCUGGACUUGAUAGUAAUGAAUUUAACUUAAUAUUCAUGAACAUGAAUCUAGAACGUGCACAUAUCGCCCGUCACUCUCGUCGAAAGAUG
rnacentral:rRNA from 1 species